GCUUGUCUCAAAGAUUAAGCCAUGCAUGUCUUAGUGUAAAUAACUCUUAUGAAACUGCGAAUGGCUCAUUAAAUCAGUUAUCAAAUACGUGAUGGUCGCCUACUACAUGGAUAACCGUAGUAAUUCUAGAGCUAAUACAUGCACAAAGGCCCGACUUCGGAAGGGUUGUAUUUAUUAGAUAAAAAACCAAUGCCCUUCGGGGCUCUUUGGUGAUUCAUGAUAACUUCUCAGAUCGCACGGCCUUGCGCCGGCGACGGUUCAUUCAAAUUUCUGCCCUAUCAACUUUCGAUGGUACGGUAUUGGCCUACCAUGGUUUCAACGGGUAACAGGGAAUUAGGGUUCGAUUCUGGAGAGCGAGCCUGAGAGACGGCUAGCACAUCCAAGGAAGGCAGCAGG
rnacentral:rRNA from 1 species